UACAGAGGGUGCGAGCGUUAAUCGGAAUUACUGGGCGUAAAGCGCACGUAGGCGGCUUGGUAUGUCGGGUGUGAAAUCCCCGGGCUCAACCUGGGAACUGCAUCCGAAACUGCCUUGCUCGAGUAUGGGAGAGGGAAGUGGAAUUUCCGGUGUAGCGGUGAAAUGCGUAGAUAUCGGAAGGAACAUCAGUGGCGAAGGCGGCCAUCUGGACCAGCACUGACGCUGAGGCACGAAAGCGUGGGGAGCAAACAGG
rnacentral:rRNA from 1 species